AGCAGUCGCCGCGGGAAUACGUAGGUGGCAAGCGUUGUCCGGAAUUAUUGGGCGUAAAGGGCUCGCAGGCGGUUUCUUAAGUCUGAUGUGAAAGCCCCCGGCUCAACCGGGGAGGGUUAUUGGAAACUGGGAAACUUGAGUGCAGAAGAGGAGAGUGGAAUUCCACGUGUAGCGGUGAAAUGCGUAGAGAUGUGGAGGAACACCAGUGGCGAAGGCGACUCUCUGGUCUGUAACUGACGCUGAGGAGCGAAAGCGUGGGGAGCGAACAGGAUUAGAUACCCCCGUAGUCCCUGUCUCUUAUAC
rnacentral:rRNA from 1 species